rnacentral:rRNA from 1 species
AAAGGGUGCGUAGGCGGCCUGUUAAGUCAGGGGUGAAAGACGGUAGCUCAACUAUCGCAGUGCCCUUGAUACUGAUGGGCUUGAAUUGACUAGAGGUAGGCGGAAUGUGACAAGUAGCGGUGAAAUGCAUAGAUAUGUCACAGAACACCGAUUGCGAAGGCAGCUUACUAUGGUCUUAUUGACGCUGAGGCACGAAAGCGUGGGGAUCAAACAGGAUUAGAUACCCGGGU